rnacentral:lncRNA from 1 species
GCAAAAUAUAGUUCAUGAAGAUAUAACUAUGAAAAAAAUUAAAAGGAAUUUGUCUGUUGUCAACUUUUAAAUACUUUUUCAGAAUGAACAUGUUUCUGGAAAAAGAAAUGGAAAAGAUAGAAAAUGAAUUAUUUAUUUGGAAAUGGAAAUAUGAAGAACUGAGACAAACCAAGCUGGAAGGCCUGAAACAGCAGGAAAGAGUGUGGUUUGCGGAUAUCUCUGAAUGGGGAAAGAGAGAGAGACUUGAAGCAGAGAAACAAAGUUUGGAAGAAGAGAACAGAAGAUUGGAGUCGCAGGUAAAAGAAAUUCAGGAACUUCUGGAGAUGAAAAAUCAAGAAACACUAACUGAAUCAAGCUGUGAUCAUCAAAAUGCACAAAGUAAGCUUCUGGUUGAAAAUAAGGUAUGUGCAUUUCUUAGUUUGAUUACCUGGGGUGUGUUCCCCAAAACAAUUAUUAUUUAAUGGUGUCAAAAUGUGUCCUUAAAACAAGGGUUGUGCAAGACAGACCAGCCCUGUCAGCAUCUUAGACCUGGACAAUUAGAAAUCAGUGACUUUGAAGAUCUGUAGUGUACAAAAACUGAAAGAAAUAUAUUUUCAUUUUUAAAAUGAACAGGGGGAAAUGACAAGUCUGACAAGACUAGGGAGCAAAAAUGAAGACUGGGAGGAACAGAAGAGAUUAAGUAAACUUUGGUAGCUACAGAGUCCUGAUUGAGGUCAAAGCAAAAAAAGCUGUGAUAAAUCAUUUCUCUAUCUUGCUGAAUAUUAACUCCUUUCUUAGGGAAAAGAGAUCUGAAGGAAGAGCUGUAUUUCUUAUUUUUAAUUUUUCUACAGAUCUAUUAACUUUUAAACCUUAUUGUACUGCUAAAAAUGAUGUGAUAAAUUAUUCAGAGACUCUUAGCUAUUG